rnacentral:rRNA from 1 species
GAUGAACGCUGGCGGCGUGCCUAAUACAUGCAAGUCGAGCGAACAGACGCGGAGCUUGCUCCUCUGACGUUAGCGGCGGACGGGUGAGUAACACGUGGAUCACCUACCUAUCAGACUGGGAUAACUUCGGGAAACCGGAGCUAAUCCCGGAUAAUAUAUUGAACCGUAUGGUUCAAUAGUGAAAGACGGCUUUGCUGUCACUUAUAGAUGGAUCCGCGCCGCAUUAGCUAGUUGGUAAGGUCACGGCUUACCAAGGCUACGAUGCGUAGCCGACCUGAGAGAGGGAUCGGCCACACUGGAACUGAGACACGGUCCAGACGCCUGCGAGAGGCAGCAGUAUGGAAUGGUCCGCAAUGGGCGAAAGCUUGACGGAGCGACGCCGCGUGAGUGAUAGAGGUCUUCGGAUCGUAAAACUCUGUUAUUAGGGAAGAACAAAUGUGGAAGUAACUAUGCACGUCUUGACGGUACCUAGUCAGAAAGCCACGGCUAACUACGUG